CCUACGGGGGGCUGCAGUGGGGAAUCUUGGACAAUGGGCGCAAGCCUGAUCCAGCCAUGCCGCGUGAGUGAUGAAGGCCUUAGGGUCGUAAAGCUCUUUCGCCAGAGAUGAUAAUGACAGUAUCUGGUAAAGAAACCCCGGCUAACUCCGUGCCAGCAGCCGCGGUAAUACGGAGGGGGUUAGCGUUGUUCGGAAUUACUGGGCGUAAAGCGCGCGUAGGCGGAUCAGUCAGUUAGAGGUGAAAUCCCGGGGCUCAACCCCGGAACUGCCUUUAAUACUGCUAGUCUUGAGUUCGAGAGAGGUGAGUGGAAUUCCGAGUGUAGAGGUGAAAUUCGUAGAUAUUCGGAGGAACACCAGUGGCGAAGGCGGCUCACUGGCUCGAUACUGACGCUGAGGUGCGAAAGUGUGGGGAGCAAACAGGAUUAGAUACCCCAGUAGUC
rnacentral:rRNA from 1 species